rnacentral:rRNA from 1 species
UACGUAGGGUGCAAGCGUUGUCCGGAAUUAUUGGGCGUAAAGAGCUCGUAGGCGGUCUGUUGCGUCGGCUGUGAAAACCCGGGGCUCAACCCCGGGCCUGCAGCCGAUACGGGCAGACUAGAGUUCGGCAGGGGAGACUGGAAUUCCCGGUGUAGCGGUGAAAUGCGCAGAUAUCAGGAGGAACACCGGUGGCGAAGGCGGGUCUCUGGGCCGAUACUGACGCUGAGGAGCGAAAGCGUGGGGAGCGAACAGG